AGCGCAGGCGGGAGAACAAGUUGGAAGUGAAAUCCAUGGGGCUCAACCCAUGAACUGCUUUCAAAACCUGUUUUUCUUGAGUAGUGCAGAGGUAGGCGGAAUUCCCGGUGUAGCGGUGGAAUGCGUAGAUAUCGGGAGGAACACCAGUGGCGAAGGCGGCCUACUGGGCACCAACUGACGCUGAGGCUCGAAAGUGUGGGUAGCAACA
rnacentral:rRNA from 1 species